rnacentral:rRNA from 1 species
UAAGGAAUAUUGGACAAUGGAGGCAACUCUGAUCCAGCCAUGCCGCGUGAAGGAAUAAGGCCCUAUGGGUUGUAAACUUCUUUUAGACGGGACAAAACCCCUUUACGUGUAAAGGGUUGAUGGUACUGUCAGAAUAAGCAUCGGCUAACUUCGUGCCAGCAGCCGCGGUAAGACGAAGGAUGCAAGCGUUAUCCGGAUUCAUUGGGUUUAAAGGGUGCGUAGGCGGGCUUGUAAGUCAGUGGUGAAAUCUCUCAGCUUAACUGAGAAACUGCCAUUGAUACUGCAGGCCUAGAGUAUAGAUGACGUUGGCGGAAUAUGACAUGUAGUGGUGAAAUACUUAGAUAUGUCAUAGAACACCGAUUGCGAAGGCAGCUAACGAAACUAUAACUGACGCUGAGGCACGAAAGUGCGGGGAUCAAACA